rnacentral:rRNA from 1 species
CGCAUCUGUGCAUGCAGCAUAUCAUAAGCGGAGGAAAAGAAACUAACAAGGAUUCCCCUAGUAACGGCGAGUGAAGCGGGAAGAGCUCAAAUUUGAAAUCUUAAAGGGUUUCCCUUUACGAAUUGUAGUUUAAAGAAGUGUUUUCUGUUGAGGUUUUGGUAAAAGUUCUUUGGAAUAGGACAUCAUAGAGGGUGAGAAUCCCGUAUUUGACCUUUACUUUCAACUUUGUGAUACACUUUCAAAGAGUCGGAUUGUUUGGGAAUGCAGUCCAAAAUGGGUGGUAAAUUUCAUCUAAAGCUAAAUAUUGGCGAGAGACCGAUAGCGAACAAGUACCGUGAGGGAAAGAUGAAAAGAACUUUGAAAAGAGAGUUAAACAGUACGUGAAAUUGUCAAAAGGGAAGCGUUUGACACCAGUGUUGUUUUUCUGAAAAUCAAUUAAAGAACUGUUUAUGCUAAGUUGUUUAGACUUUAUCAGCUAUCUGUUUAGUUUUGAGCUUUUCCUUUAAUGCACUUUUCAGUUAACAAGUCAACAUCAAUUUCUUUUGCUGUAAAAAAGCUUGAGGAAGGUGGCUUGAGAUUCGUCUUAAGUGUUUAUAGCCUCUUGCCUAUGCAGUCGGAGAGAUUGAGGUCUGCAGCGUAGAUCCUUCGGGGCUAAAUGCAUUUGUGCUAAGUUAUAGCAUUUUAUAGACAACUUGUUGACUAUGAUUUGUCUUGUAGCUUACUCGCUUAUGUUAUUUUACCUACGCUUAGGAUGUUGAGUCGUAGAGCACGCAG